rnacentral:rRNA from 1 species
UUCCAGACUCCUACGGGAGGCAGCAGUAGGGAAUAUUGCUCAAUGGGGGAAACCCUGACCCAGCGACGCCGCGUGAGGGAAGAAGGUUUUCGGAUUGUAAACCUCUGUCCUUGGUGACGAUAAUGACGGUAGCCAAGGAGGAAGCCACGGCUAACUACGUGCCAGCAGCCGCGGUAAUACGGAGGAUGCGAGCGUUAUCCGGAUUUAUUGGGUUUAAAGGGUGCGUAGGCGGAUCGUUAAGUCAGUGGUCAAAUGGGGGGGCUCACCCCCUGCCCGCCAUUGAAACUGGCGCUCUUGAGUGGAAGAGAAGUAUGCGGAAUGCGUGGUGUAGCGGUGAAAUGCAUAGAUAUCACGCAGAACCCCGAUUGCGAAGGCAGCAUGCCGGCUUCCGACUGACGCUGAAGCACGAAAGCGUGGGGAUCGAACAGGAUUAGAUACCCGCGUAC